rfam:Strongyloides venezuelensis genome assembly, scaffold: SVE_scaffold0000011
CCAACGGCCCUCUUUAGGGCCACCAUUUCAAGCUUUUUUGUAUUUU